rnacentral:misc_RNA from 1 species
GAAUUGGUCCCAUUCCGAGCGAGAAUGAAAUAAUCAUGAACACCACCCCAACUACGGACACUAUUCCCAAGACACCAUAGAGGGUAGAAUCCUCAGAUACAUAACCCUUUAGAUAGAAGGCAACGGAGACAAUAAGAAGACUAACAGCCAUUCCAGCCGAGGAAACAAUUAAUAAAAUUCUACGUCCAGUUCUGUCCACCAGCCAUGUAGAAACUGCAGUUGCAACAACCUGUAUAGCACCGACACCAAAAGUUGCAGCAUUACUUGACGAAAUACCGGCAGAUAGGAAAAUGUUGCUGGAAUAGAAUAUAACACCGUUGAUUCCUCCUAACUGUUGCAGGAUAAGUAGUCCAAUUCCUACCAUG